UACGGAGGAUUCAAGCGUUAUCCGGAAUCAUUGGGUUUAAAGGGUCCGUAGGCGGGCUUAUAAGUCAGUGGUGAAAGUCUGCAGCUUAAUUGUAGAACUGCCAUUGAUACUGUAGGUCUUGAGUCAUUAUGAAGUGGUUAGAAUGAGUAGUGUAGCGGUGAAACGCAUAGAUAUUACUCAGAGUACCGAUUGCGAAGGCAGAUCACUAAUAAUUCACUGACGCUGAUGGACGAAAGCGUAGGUAGCGAACAGG
rnacentral:misc_RNA from 1 species